GUCUGAUUAAUGACCAUUUCACAGCAGAGGAAUUAUCUCAGCUGUAACUCAAGGCAGCAGGGAACAUCAACACUGUCCUUAGAUCUCUUGGGGUCUCGUACAACAUUUCUACUUCAAAAGAAAAGAAUGGAAAACUCCACAAGUGAAAGACUUAAAGAUACAAGAUUCUACUGCAGAAGGCACAGACAGCACUCCAAAUCUGAAAAAAACCUCUUUCUAGAACCAGAAGAUUGUCUGGAGAUGGGUGGACCAGAGCUAUGUGCUGUUUCUUGAAGGACACUGGCCCAAAGAUCAAAGGACGCAAGAAGCACUAAGGGCUCCCAGAAAGGCCUAUGGUGGAGUUAUGAGCAGCACCAAUGGAGCCUUUCACAAGAAUGGGAGCUGGUUCUGAGCUUCCCAGGGGACUCCAUUGGGAGCCAUGGCCCAACAGUACCACCUGCCUCAGGCAAGGACCUGCCUUCUGCCUCUCUUACAUGAGCUUACCUCUGCACAGAAGCAGCACAGAAGUCUGGAGAAAAGAAAAAUGGUGCUGGAGGCUGCCAAGAAGUAUGGGAACAAGUCAAUGAUGAGUGAGGAAGGUCGAAGGAAAUUAAUUUAUGAAGCUGUUGUCCUGAUUUCUCUAUGCUUGAACCCGGCUAAGAACAGGACUUCUUUGCAAAAAUACAUCUACUCUCAGCCUCUUACCCCAAAUGCUGGAGCAGCAGAUCUGGGGUAGCAGCUAUGAGCCCUGACACCUUGAUCCCAGCAGCAAACUUUGUGUUCAUGUUCUGAGAGCCAUGGAUGUUGUUUGGUUACCAUAGCACAAUGCCAAGAACUUGUCUGUCAGUGUAAGUGCCAGGCUGCUUUUCACUGCUAACCUGCUCACACACCAUGGUGACUUCAUCCAAACUGGACGGUGAAAAGAAACCAACACCUAACUUUGUUUUAAAACAACCCUGGUUAGAGUGUCUUGCAAUGAGUUACUUAACCCAAGGCAAGCAGAGACUUUUGGAAAGGAGGAUGGCACCCCAACAGAACCUGGAGCUGUGGAAGUGUAACCACUGUCUCAGAGAGUCUGAGCUGCUGCUCAGCUGGGACUGGAGAAAUGGCCAUGGAGACAUACAGUUUGUGACAGGUAAUUCUGAUUUAUGCCACUUGGUGCUAUCACACAGGGCUUUGAAAACAGCGUGUCCCAAUACAGCCACAUGUAUUUUGCUGUCUGCUGCUCUGUGAAGCCAGGAACAGCUUAAGGCUUUGUAUGUAUCUUCCUCUGCCUAGAGCAGAGUAUCCUGCUAAUGCUAAAAGGCAUUUUGACAACUUGUAUUCAGUAUUCUCCUUCCUGCAGGGGAUCUCAGCAGCAAAAUUGUCAGAGUCACUGGUCCAGGCUGAGUAGAUACAGCUACAGGCUGUGCUGACCGAGUUGCAUUUUCCCACCUUCAGUUUACUGGGUGAGCUGGGGCAGCUGGUUUUCCUUUCAGGUGGUGCCUGAAGCAGAAGCAACUGACCUGGGAGUGAAAAGCCUAAGGUGUCACUUGCUGUUCCCUCAGGGUGAAGAACAGUAACUCAUUGCUUUAGUGAAGAACCAGUCCUAAAUAAUGCCCUGGCUUCAUGAUGGGAGAGCAGGAAUCCCAGUGGUGUGAUGGAUCUGGUACUGCCCUCAGAAAUGUUCCAGGUGGAUCCCACCAGGUAACAGAAGUUGUGCAGGAAGGGAAUUCUCAGACAUGCAGCUCCCUGGGAAAUUAGAGAACCACCUGAGACAGCAUUUUGAAGAUAGUCUGGAAGGGCAAGAACAGUGGGUACUCUGCAUGGCCAAGAUCCUGGGAAUGGGACAAAAGGAGGGGAAAGGAUGGGUGCAAGAUGACCUGAUACUUCUGCAAGGAGACCCAGAGUGAGGCUUCUGCAUCCCCCUGCUUGCUGCACAACAUGACUGUGAACAGCUGUACCUCAGGGGCAGGGGAGUGCCAUGCUGACUCCAGGCACUGCUGCGCUCUUGGGGUGUUGCCCACUCCAUGAAGUGGCUUUGGUAAGGCAGCAGAUGCCAUGUCCUCAGUCCUGAGUGUGCAGGCAGGGACUGUGCCAUCCCAAGCAUGCUGCAGAUGAUGGGAUCCAACCAUCAGGGCACACAAUCAGCUCUGGAUAGGUGCCAGCUGCAAGGGCAGCCCCAGGAGCAGGGUUCCUUGCUUUAGGAUAGAUCACUAUGUUACCUGAUUUGUCUCUUUCUGUGGUUUUGAUGGUUUUGCACAUAUUUCCAUUGUUCUGUGCUUUGCUUUUGCAGUCACGUGUUGAAAACAGUCAGGAUACAUAAAAACAGGAAAGAUCUUUAAUCUUAGGGUCAUGAGAAUGACACUUGACCUAGCAAAGCUACUCAUCCAGUUGCUUUUCUUCUAAUAUACUUGUUUUCUUUUUUCAGUACUGACAGUGUUUCAAGCAUCUGGAUUUCAGUCACAGCUCCAGAUAUGAAGUUUUAGACAAGUGAUGGGUCAAGGUGUACAUCUUGAGGGGACUACCAUAAACAAACAAAUUAAACCAUCUCAGAAAAGCUCCGGAUUGCUCUUGAUUUCUUUCCAUCAAUUUAUUCUUUUGUCUUUAAAUAUGUUCUAGAGUCUUUUAAGCAAACUGGUGUGUUUUUGUUCAUUGCACAAUUUUCUUCAGCUAGUGAAUAUUAAUUCCCUUAUUGGGUCAAAUAAUUGGAAUAAUGCAAAUAGAUCCAAAUAACAUUUGCAAAUUAAAUGAUACCUAAGUACUUUACAAUAAACAGGUCAAGAAAAAUACA
ensembl:lncRNA